AAUGCAUAUAAGCCAUUUACCAAAUGCCUGAAUCGAGUAUGAAGCAUCUGACAGACCUGAGGACACAGCAUCAUAAUGCUCGUGUCCAGCUUUGGAUUGUCCACACACCAGUAUUGUUAAGGGAAAGGCCAGCAUCAGCAAGCUAGUGACAAUGAGAAGAAUUGUCCUCCAUCUGUCAAGCCAACUGCAUCCCCAGACUGUAUCAGAUUUCUUCAUAAGGACAUCCGAAAUGAGGCUCCAGAAACUCAAACCUAGAGUCCGGUCUGCAGCUCUUCAAUUUCACAAACAGAGCCUUCUUCACGUCGCAGGUGAAAUAGCGCGUGCCCCUGAACGUGCCAUCUGUACAGCCCGCACAUUCAUCCUCC